CCCCGUGUCUGUCCCCUCAGGGCCCCUCUCCCAGGGCUACACAGCGGGGGAGGAGACCCCAACAGAAAACUGUUAUGCUAUGAUUUAAAUCUGUAAAAGCAAUGGUCCUCCGUUGAAUAUAGUCAAAUUCCAGCUUGAAUACUCAAGCGUGGUUUCAAAAUACUGAAGGAAAACAGAGCUGGCUGGCCCCUCAUGCAGGAUCAUACAACCUUGCUAUAGGUCUUGCCCUGUUUAAAUCUUCACUGUGGUCUCACCUGUGGACGGUGCAUGUCUUGGGACACUGCCUGGGUCACACAGGGCACAUUUCAUCUCCAGCUCAGGCUGGUGGAGCAUUUAGCUCUGUCCUUUCCUUCCAAUGCCAUGAAACGCUGAGCUCAGGCACUCGCUAUCCUUAUUCCAAGUUUUAUUCCAAGUUCUUUACUGUUCCAUUUAUGGUUGUUGUUUUUUUUCCUUUUAAAACCAAUCUGGGGAAAAAAACCCCAAAGCAGCAUUUUUCACCUGUGAAGUGCCAUGUGAUCUCUGGAUGGCAGGCAGCUUUGGUUAUCAAAGCCCUCUUCCAGCAGCACAUAGCUCUCCUUAGUGUGUAACGAAAGUCCAGAAUAACCCAUUAGACUACAGAAGUUGCCAUGGGUUGAAGUAAUAAUUAUUAAUACUGUAUUGUACAACCUUCUUUAUAAGGAAAACCAAUGUUUUUCUAAAUAGACAACAUGGCCUCAGGCUGGCUGUUCGUAAUUUCUUUUAAACCUGACUUUUACUAAACUUUAGUAUUAAAACCAUAGUUUAAAAAUUAACUAAGAGACAUAUCAUAAUUGCUUUUAUCAGUUAGACUGUUCUGUGAUCUGUGUUAGGAAGAUGGCAGCAGUGAAGUGGAAAAUGAUCAAUCCAGGCAUCAAAGCAAUAGUUUGCCUGGGUCUAUCUAGAGCUGUAUUUUUAUGAGUUUGUAAUUACCAUUGGAAAGCUGGGUAGUUCACACAAGCUUUUCUUUCCAUUGCAGUGAUUAACAAAUGAAACCAAACCGGUGGCCCAUACAUAAACUUUGAUUAAAUUACAGUUAUCCUUAAAGCUAAUCAAAGCUCAUGUAACUGGAUUUUUCAGUCUAAUUAAAACCCAACAGCUCACACAGGCUGUGAGACACUUCUGACACAACCGGAAGGUUUUCAAGAAGCUCAGCUCGAGCUAACUCUGAAAUCUUGGAGCUGACAUACAUAAUACUAAUGCUAAUGGCAGUUUCUAAUUUUGCCCUUGACCAAGCUUAGCAUUUGCUUGCUCAUGAAGGAGAGGUACCCUCAGGGAAUGUAAAAUGCACUCCUUUCAGGGAGACAGCUCUUUGUUCAGUGGUCUUUUCAGAUUAAUUGUGCAGUGAGAGAAGAAGGCAAGUCUGCAGUGCAGCACUUCCCCUGCACUCGUCCUGUCAGGACUCCUACAGAAUUCGGCCCACUGACUGGAACAACACAUUGGCAUUUAAUCAGCUGGAACUCAGCUUCUUCUUACCCUGCCUGGAAGCUUUUUGGGUCCAUUUUUAACAUUGGUACUCCAACAUUUGGAGCAAGGAAGCUCCAAGUCUCUCCCCUGGAAUGGUGAUGCCUUGCUGGAGGCUGAUAACCAAGCAGGCUUUGUCACAGCUCAGCUUUCACAUCCACUUGCUUGGGGCAUGACCAGAAGCACCAGUGUUUUAACAGUAUUAAAACUCUGCCUGGACAAGUAAAAUGAUGAAUUGUUUGAUUCACAAGGGCUGGUGUGCCUCUAGGAAAAUAGCAAAGACACAGAAGUCCUGUGAACACCGUUUUUUUGAGCUUCGUUAUUGAGCCUUUUUUCCACUUUAAAGGCUUCCACCUCACCUGGUACCAGUACAAAAACAGCUGUGCUGUGUUAGAGCAGUCAGCAGGACAACCAGCAUGGGAAGCCCGAGAAGUGAACCAGGAGGUAUUUAUAAUGAAAACUUUCUUGCCAGCAGGAAGGGAAGAUUCCACUUUUAGUCCUCAAUUAUGUUACCUUUGCUUAAAUUAAAGUAUCUACAUGGAACCCAAGGCAGAAUGGACAGUCAAUUAAAGAAAGGGCAGGGAGAGAGAACCAGGCUGAAGAGGAGGAAUUCAUUUGCAAGGAACCAGGCAUUCUCCCUUAAAGAAAAGUGCAUUGAAAUAAAAGAAGUUUAACAAAAAGAAGAGUUUGUACAUAGCAAUAUAGCACACCAGCAUAACCAUGUAGUAACAGAAAUCACAGAUUUCUUCACACCAAAGUAGAGCCUGGGAAUUGCAGAAGGGCUCCCUUGACCUCACCUAUGUUAUCCUUAAAUCCCAAUGCUAGCUCUUUCCAUGGCAACCACUGCAUAUAUCCUGUGUGACUCUUAAUAAAGUGGAAAAUUGAAUUCAAUUUUUGCACUAAAGUGGCCUUAUAAUUUGGUACAGAAAACUCAAGCUGUUGCAUUUUGGUUGGUAUUACUGAAUGGAUACUAUUUGGGUCCACUUUUCUUGGGACAUGAGUGGUAGGUUUCCUCUUCCAAUACAUUUAGGAAAGACCCUUUGCCCCUGUGAUGGAAUUCUGUGCCACUUGCAGUUGCACACCACACUCCUGACUACAGAGUACUACCCUGUCUGCAGGCUGAUACAGUAUUUCUGCCAUGCCUCAAGAGGAGCAUCCUGUUUGUUUGUGGAGCUAAAUUCACCACUAACAGACGCUGUUGAAUUCUACUGUUGGCACAUUCUUUCCAAACAUGUUAACAGCUAUUCAGGCUUCUGCACCCCUAAACAUGGGAAAUACAUAAUGCAGCUUUCUUAAACACAGAGAAUGAUUGGGUGUUUUGGGCAGACAGUAUCUUCUGCAUUUUUCCUGCCUGCCAUUGCAGUGGGGAGGCCCUGGAACCUCCCAGGUUCUCUUGCACUUUCUGGCACUGCUGCAGCCCUGGCCCCAUUCUUAGCGAGGGUGUUCAUACCUCACUAGCAUGGGACAAGAAAUCCUGGAAUGAUUCUUGUCUUGGUUUCGAGGCAAAUUUCAGGAGAAAAUGCUCUGGAAUGAACGUUUCCUCUAAAGAGGAAGGGCUUUAAUAACUCCCUUUUUUUCAGCCAAUGAGAGAAAUUGAUACCAGCAGGUGAAAGUGAAACCUAAGUGGUACGUAACAAAAAGUUAACCACAAGUAACAUUGUAACAAGAUGUGCAGGUAAAGCAAGCAAGAUAGCAAAGCCAGUGAGAUAACAUGAGCCAUGAAAAGCAAGAUCGCAAGUUUUAAUGGAACUUGCAAACUGCAAAAUUAGCUAAAAACAAGUUAGACUGAAAAACAAGAAGCACCAGGCAUGUGCUGAAGAUAGAGGUGAAAUUUCAAAUGUGAGGAAGACUACAGAAAUCUUCAUCAAAAGACCACCAGAAGACUGACGACCACCACAGAAGGAACUGAUGCAUGUGCGGAAGCAACAAACUGAUGAUACAGCUUUUUGCAAAUAUGAGUAUGCUAAUGAUAUGUUGUAAUUGUGACGUGGCGUAGAAAGACUUUUAAAAUGUAACUGAAGGCUAGAGAAGAUUGAGUGAGUUUUGUGGAGAUCCCCCUCACUCCCAGUGCUGAAUAAACAAAUACCUGCUCUGUAGCUGUCUGA